GAUGAACGCUGGCGGCGUGCCUAAUACAUGCAAGUCGAGCGAACAGACGAGGAGCUUGCUCCUCUGACGUUAGCGGCGGACGGGUGAGUAACACGUGGAUAACCUACCUAUAAGACUUGGAUAACUUCGGGAAACCGGAGCUAAUACCGGAUAAUAUAUUGAACCGCAUGGUUCCAUAGUGAAAGACGGUUUUGCUGUCACUUAUAGAUGGAUCCGCGCCGCAUUAGCUAGUUGGUAAGGUAACGGCUUACCAAGGCAACGAUGCGUAGCCGACCUGAGAGGGUCAUCCGCCACACUGUAACUGAGACACGGUCCAGACUCCUACGGGAGGCAGGAGUAGGGAAACUUGCGCAAUGGGCGAAAGCCUGACGGAGCAACGCCGCGUGGGUGAUGAAGGUCUUCGGAUCGUAAAACGCUGUUAUUAGGGAAGUACAAAUGUGUAAGUAACUAUGCACGUCUUGACGGUACCUAAUCAGAAAGCCACGCCUAGCUACGUG
rnacentral:rRNA from 1 species